rnacentral:rRNA from 1 species
CACGUAGGGCGCGAGCGUUGUCCGGAAUUAUUGGGCGUAAAGAGCUCGUAGGCGGCCUGUUGCGUCCGCUGUGAAAGUCCGGGGCUCAACUCCGGAUCUGCGGUGGGUACGGGCAGACUAGAGUGAUGUAGGGGAGACUGGAAUUCCUGGUGUAGCGGUGAAAUGCGCAGAUAUCAGGAGGAACACCGAUGGCGAAGGCAGGUCUCUGGGCCGAUACUGACGCUGAGGAGCGAAAGCGUGGGGAGCGAACAGG